AAUAUCCUCAUCUUUCGCGCGCGAAUAUAUUUCUCUUUGAUCUCCCAAUUCAAACGUCUUUCCUAUAAAGGCUCCUUACCAGAUUGUUCAUCAUGCAGCGACGAUAAAAUUGGCACAAUGUCAAUGGUCAAUGCAAAUGUUCAAGGAAUGUAUGUUUUUUACAAACUAAUUCACUUAUCAGAGAUAUUAAUGUGGCCGAAUGAAAGAAUCGUUUCACUCAAUUUUCAUGCCCUAACAAGUAUGAAAAAACUAAUUCUUUAAUUAAUGUAACAUACAUGUUAUGUAAUAUGUUAUAAUAAUAUAUGUAACAUAUAUGUUGUAAAUGGAAGAACAAACGGUGAUCUCCCUGGGCAAUUACCUGUCAGACCUAUAACGGGGCAAGUGUGGUUGACUAUGUUGUUAUCUCGCACAGCUUGCUUUCAUUUGUUGUAGGCUUUAAUGUUGAAGAUAUCACUGAAUUUUCUCAUUCAUGUCUGUCUUUUAUACUACAGAUUAAAUAUCCACAAAACUCAGGUGAUACUUUCAAAUUAACCCCUCAUAAUAAAUCUUUUAUUUGGAAUGAAAGGAUGCUCUAAGAGAAUGCAUGAGUUCGAACGAAAUAGAAAAUAAAUUAGAAUCGCUAUUUUUCCAGCAUAAAGGUGUAUCUAGUGAUGAAGCAACCGACACAGAUGCUUGUAGCUAAUUUCUCAGAAAUUUUGUCCGAUACCUCACAAAAAUUUCUAAAAAUUAAGAGGCAAAAGAAAAAGAUCAAAAAAGGUAAUACCAAAAUGAGACAGG